rnacentral:rRNA from 1 species
UACGGAGGGGGCAAGCGUUGUCCGGACUUACUGGGCGUAAAGCGUGCGUAGACGGCUAUCUAAGUCGGGUGUGAAAGCCCCGGGCUCAACCUGGGAAUUGCAUUCGAGACUGAAUAGCUAGGGUACGGUAGAGGGAAGCGGAAUUUCCGGUGUAGCGGUGAAAUGCGUAGAUAUCGGAAGGAACAUCAGUGGCGAAAGCGGCUUCCUGGACCAGUACCGACGUUCAGGCACGAAAGCGUGGGGAGCAAACAGG